rnacentral:rRNA from 1 species
UGGGGAAUAUUGCACAAUGGGCGAAAGCCUGAUGCAGCAACGCCGCGUGAGUGAUGAAGGCCUUCGGGUUGUAAAGCUCUGUCUUUUGGGACGAUAAUGACGGUACCAAAGGAGGAAGCCACGGCUAACUACGUGCCAGCAGCCGCGGUAAUACGUAGGUGGCAAGCGUUGUCCGGAUUUACUGGGCGUAAAGGAUGCGUAGGCGGAUUUUUAAGUGAGAUGUGAAAACCCUAAGCUUAACUUGGGGACUGCAUUUCAUACUGGAAAUCUAGAGUGCGGGAGAGGAGAAUGGAAUUCCUAGUGUAGCGGUGAAAUGCGUAGAGAUUAGGAAGAACACCAGUGGCGAAGGCGAUUCUCUGGACCGUAACUGACGCUGAGGCAUGAAGGCGUGGGUAGCAAACAGGAUUAGAUACCCUGGUAGUCCACGCCGUAAACGAUGAGUACUAGGUGUAGGAGGUAUCGACCCCUUCUGUGCCGCAGUUAACACAAUAAGUACUCCGCCUGGGAAGUACGAUCGCAAGAUUAAAAACUUAAAUGAAUUGAC